GACGAACGCUGGCGGCGUGCUUAACACAUGCAAGUCGAACGGAAAGGCCUGUCCUUCCUUGUGUUGGACGGGUACUCGAGUGGCGAACGGGUGAGUAACACGUGAGUGAUCUGCCCCCAACUUGGGUAUAAGCCUGGGAAACUGGGUCUAAUUCCCGAUAGGACUGCAGGGUGGUGCCUGUGGUGGAAAACGAUUUUCUAGUGGUUGGGGAUGAGCUCGCGGCCUAUCAGCUUGUUGGUGGGGUAAUGGCCUACCAAGGCGGCGACGGGCAGCCGGCCUGGGGGGGUGGACGGCCACUUUGGACCGGGGUACGGGCCCGGCCUCUACGGGAGGCAGCAGUGGGGAAUAUUGCACAAUGGGCGGAAGCCUGAUGCAGCGACGCCGCGUGGGGGAUGACGGCCUUCGGGUUGUAAACUCCUUUCGACCGCGAGGAAGCCGCCUGGUUGGAAGGGUGGUGACGGUAGUGGUAGAAGAAGCACCGGCUAACUACGU
rnacentral:rRNA from 1 species